rnacentral:rRNA from 1 species
CAAUAGCGUAUAUUAAAGUUGUUGCAGUUAAAAAGCUCGUAGUUGGAUUUCUGCUGAGGACGAUCGGUCCGCCCACUGGGUGAGUAUCUGGCUCGGCCUUGGCAUCUUCUUGGAGAACGUUGCUGCACUUGACUGUGUGGCGCGGUAUCCAGGACUUUUACUUUGAGGAAAUUAGAGUGUUUCAAGCAGGCGCACGCCUUGAAUACAUUAGCAUGGAAUAAUGAGAUAGGACCUUGGUUCUAUUUUGUUGGUUUCUAGAGCUGAGGUAAUGAUUAAUAGGGAUAGUUGGGGGCAUUCGUAUUUAACUGUCAGAGGUGAAAUUCUUGGAUUUGUUAAAGACAGACUACUGCGAAAGCAUUUGCCAAGGAUGUUUUCAUUGA